GACGGAGGGUGCUAGCGUUGUUCGGAAUUACUGGGCGUAAAGGGCGCGUAGGCGGCCGCUCGCGUCGGAUGUGAAAGCCCGGGGCUCAACCCCGGAACGGCAUCCGAUACGGGGCGGCUGGAGACCGGGAGAGGAGGGUGGAAUAGCCAGUGUAGAGGUGAAAUUCGUAGAUAUUGGCUGGAACACCGGUGGCGAAAGCGGCUCUCUGGCCCUGUUCUGACGCUGAGGCGCGAAAGCGUGGGGAGCGAACAGG
rnacentral:rRNA from 1 species